rnacentral:rRNA from 1 species
AGCGAACGCUGGCAGCAUGCCUAACACAUGCAAGUCGAACGAACCUUUCGGGGUCAGUGGCCGACGGGAGAGGAACCCGUCGGAUCAUUCCUUUAGGUUCGGAAUACCUCAGGGCAACUUGUGCUAAUACCGAACGUGCCCUACUACGGCAUGAUUACUCGACUCUAGAGCGGCAAGCUUCUGAUUAGCUAGUUGGUUGAGGUAAUGGCUCACCAAGUUGACGAACAGUAGCUGGUCUGAGAGGAUGAUCCGCCACAUUGGGACUGAGACAAGGCCCAAACUCCUACGGGAGGCAGCAGUGGGGAAUCUUGCGCAAUGGGCGAAAGCAUGACGCAGCCAUGCCGCGUGAAUGAUGAAGGUCUUAGGAUUGUAAAAUUCUUUCACCGGGGACGAUAAUGACGGUACCCGGAGAAGAAGCCCCGGCUAACUUCGUG